rnacentral:rRNA from 1 species
GUGGAUUAGAUACCCUGGUAGUCCACGCCGUAAACGAUGAUCACUCGCUGUUAGCGAUACACAGUUAGCGGCUAAGCAAAAGCAUUAAGUGAUCCACCUGGGGAGUACGGCCGCAAGGCUGAAACUCAAAGGAAUUGACGGGGGCCCGCACAAGCGGAGGAACAUGUGGUUUAAUUCGAUGAUACGCGAGGAACCUUACCUGGGCUUAAAUGUAGAGUGCAUGGGGUAGAAAUAUCCCUUUCCUUCGGGACUCUUUGCAAGGUGCUGCAUGGCCGUCGCCAACU